UGUUUACUUCAUGAUCUACAUACAUGGAGUUGAACAAAAUUUGUUUUAUAAUGAACAAAAUUUGUUUUAUAAUGAAUAAAAUUUGUUUUAUAAUUUUAAGAUUUUUAACCCCAGGCACCCAAACACCGUGCUCGGCCAUAGGUGUCAGCGGCAUAUCACGUGACUCUCGCCCCCGUUCCUCCUCCCUGCACCCAAAUCAAAUCUGUGCACUUCGCAAUCCAGCAGAGUCCACGCGCUCCGCUGUAGGCGGCGGGGCCAGGCUCAGAAACGAAGGGGAUGGAGGACACAAUAGCGGAGAAGAAGCCCCGGACCGCCGGCGAUAGAGAUGGAGACGGCUGCAACAGCGAGCCGUCCGGCACCACAGAGAGCGGCGGCUUGGCGGCAGACUGGCGGAGAGGCUCCCCGAGGCGCUGCUGGUGGAGGUGCUGGGCCGUCUCGACCUCGACGACGCCUGCUCCGCCGCUGCGUCCUGCCGCUCGCUCCACGCCGCUGCCAACGUCGCCCUCUCCGCCCUCGACCUGUCCGUGAGCUUCACCCUCAAAAAAAAAGAGCCGGAGGUGGAGGCCGACACUCGGACGGGAGGCGGACAGAUUUUCCAGGCCAGAAUAAAAUUUUCAUGAUUAAGUAUUAGAGAAAGAUAACUUAAUCCUCUACCCAUGGAAAAUAUGUUUGCAUAUGUACUCGAGCCAAAGUUUCUUUAUUUAUUAUAAUGUGCAAAAUUUGAUAAAUGCAAAUAAAUUUCCUAGGGCUCUAGAAAUUGCAACACAAAUUUUAUUGGAUCUGUUGUGAUGUGUCCUUACCUGGAGAAAUGCAUAUGCACAAGCACAACCAUCUUUGCAUUAUAAUGAUUUAUAUGCUUUUGCCUUAUACUGUGAAAAAUAUUAAUUUUUUGUAGACAUUAAAUACUAUCUUUGCAUUAUGUCCUAUUGAAUAGUUUGACAGAGGAGCACAUACCUAUCGUUAUCACGACCUGGGGUUCUCCGGCCUCGGCCUCUGCUUCGACUACAAUGCGAUGGAGCUACAAAUUGGAUUUCAAGGUUUAGUGGGCUUUGUGAACCUAUGUUUUGGACUAUAAAAUUUGAGGUUUGCCCUUAGCUCACAAUUUAUAUAUCUAGGUGCUGGUUAUGCAUUAUUUUCACUGUUACAGUUUGUCUUUGACUAGCCUCUCCCUAGCGCUUAGAAUUCCUGUUGUCUAGAAGCUGCUUAAUCUCGUUUCAAUAAAAGCCGAGUAAUGUUGUUCUUGAAGACAGUGUGAAGAGCUGAAGCUAGAUAGCUGCAUAGUAUGUUGUGCAUGAUUAAUUCUGGAAAAGAA